AUUGAACGCUGGCGGCAGGCUUAACACAUGCAAGUCGAGCGGGGGAGGUUGCUUCGGUAACUGACCUAGCGGCGGACGGGUGAGUAAUGCUUAGGAAUCUGCCUAUUAGUGGGGGACAACAUUCCGAAAGGAAUGCUAAUACCGCAUACGCCCUACGGGGGAAAGCAGGGGAUCUUCGGACCUUGCGCUAAUAGAUGAGCCUAAGUCGGAUUAGCUAGUUGGUGGGGUAAAGGCCUACCAAGGCGACGAUCUGUAGCGGGUCUGAGAGGAUGAUCCGCCACACUGGGACUGAGACACGGCCCAGACUCCUACGGGAGGCAGCAGUGGGGAAUAUUGGACAAUGGGCGGAAGCCUGAUCCAGCCAUGCCGCGUGUGUGAAGAAGGCCUUUUGGUUGUAAAGCACUUUAAGCGAGGAGGAGGCUCUUAAGGUUAAUACCCUUGAUGAGUGGACGUUACUCGCAGAAUAAGCACCGGCUAACUCUGUGCUAGCCGCCGCGGUAAAAC
rnacentral:rRNA from 1 species